UUGCUUAGAAGCAGAAUCGAAACCCCAUUCGCAGUGAAGAUGGGAAAAAUGGGGUCUAGAGUGACCUCUCUCAUUCUCACUCUCUUUGUAGCGUUAGUCUCUCUCAGCUUGCCGUCUGAAACCUCUGCAAACUACCCAUACUCAUCUCCUCCACCUCCACCUCCAAAGGAGCAUUAUGUGUACAAGUCUCCUCCUCCUCCUCCUCCGGUGAAACCAUACCAUCCACCUUAUGUGUACAAGUCUCCUCCUCCUCCACCUCCGGUGAAACCAUACCAUCCACCAUAUGUGUACAAGUCUCCUCCUCCUCCACCUCCGGUGAAACCAUACCAUCCACCUUAUGUGUACAAGUCUCCACCACCACCACCCCCCAAGGUGCCGCACCAUCCACCACCCCACAAGAAGCCUCCCCACCAUCCACCCUACGUGUACAAGUCUCCUCCUCCACCACCUCCGGUGAAACCAUACCAUCCACCUUAUGUGUACAAGUCUCCACCACCACCACCCCCCAAGGUGCCGCACCAUCCACCACCCCACAAGAAGCCGCCCCACCAUCCACCCUACGUGUACAAGUCUCCUCCUCCACCACCUCCGGUGAAACCAUACCAUCCACCUUAUGUCUACAAGUCUCCACCACCACCACCCCCCAAGGUGCCGCACCAUCCACCACCCCACAAGAAGCCGCCCCACCAUCCACCUUAUGUGUACAAGUCUCCUCCUCCACCACCGCCAAAGAAGCCACACCAUCCACCUUACGUGUACAAGUCUCCUCCACCACCACCACACCACAAUAAGCCGCCCCACCAUCCACCCUAUGUGUACAAGUCUCCUCCUCCACCGCCGCCAAAGAAGCCACACCAUCCACCAUACGUGUACAAGUCUCCUCCACCACCCCCACCCCACAAGAAGCCGCCCCACCAUCCACCCUAUGUGUACAAGUCUCCUCCACCACCGCCGCCAAAGAAGCCACACCACCCACCAUACGUGUACAAGUCUCCUCCACCACCCCCACCGAAGAAGCCUUACCACCCACCAUACGUGUACAAGUCUCCUCCACCACCCCCACCGAAGAAGCCUUACCACCCACCAUACGUGUACAAGUCUCCUCCUCCACCGCCACCGAAGAAGCCCCACCACCCACCCUACCAUCCACCCUACGUUUACAAGUCCCCUCCACCACCACCACCCACCAAGCCCUACCACCCUCCCUACGUUUACAAGUCCCCUCCACCACCACCACCCACAAAGCCCUACCACCCUCCCUACGUUUACAAGUCCCCUCCACCACCACCACCCACCAAGCCCUACCACCCCCCCUACGUUUACAAGUCCCCUCCACCACCACCACCCACCAAGCCCUACCACCCCCCCUACGUUUACAAGUCCCCUCCACCACCACCACCCACCAAGCCCUACCACCCCCCCUACGUUUACAAGUCCCCUCCACCACCACCACCCACGAAGCCCUACCACCCCCCCUACGUUUACAAGUCCCCUCCACCACCACCACCCACGAAGCCCUACCAUCCACCUUACGUGUACAAAUCGCCCCCUCCACCACCUCCCACAAAGCCCUACCACCCACCCUACCAUCCACCCUACGUUUACAAGUCCCCUCCACCACCACCACCACCCACCAAGCCCUACCAUCCACCCUACGUUUACAAGUCUCCACCGCCACCACCACCCACCAAGCCAUACCAUCCUCCCUACGUUUACAAGUCCCCUCCACCCCCACCACCCACGAAGCCAUACCACCCACCCUAUGUUUAUAAGUCUCCACCACCACCACCACCCACGAAGCCCUACCAUCCACCUUACGUGUACAAAUCUCCCCCUCCACCUCCCAAGGAGCCCCACCAUCCACCAUAUGUGUACAAGUCUCCUCCUCCUCCUCCUCCUGUACACAAGCCACCAACACACCCAUACAUCUAUGCAUCACCCCCUCCUCCACACUACUACUAGAGAGUAGCUCUGAUAACAUCAUGGUAAGCUUCUUAAUGCACACAUUUCUUAAUCUUUCAUAACAUUCGAUUAAUUGCAGUUCCAUUCUAGCAAUAUAUAUAUAUAUAUAUAUAUAUACUAUCUAAUUUUUUAACCGAGAUGAACAUGUCUUCUGGCAGCAUUACGCUUAAAGUUGUCAAGUAUUAUUUCUCUACGUUUUGUCAAUGUUUUAUGAAGCAAAUUGACCAAUGACAUAAACCAACGAACAUUUUCUUGCAGGAGAGCGAAAGACGAAAUAAAGGAAGGCUUGCAUGAAGUGCUUGUAUACGAAGAAGGACG